AGAGUUUGAUUAUGGCUCAGAACGAACGCUGGCGGCAUGGAUUAGGCAUGCAAGUCGAACGGUGUAGCAAUACACAGUGGCGGAAGGGUGAGGAACACGUGAAUAAUCUGCCCUCAAGUUGGGAAUAACUUUCCGACAGGAAAGCUAAUACCGAAUGUGGUUGUUUUUAUCGCAUGAUAGGACAACUAAAGAUUUAUCGCUUGAGGAUGAGUUCGCGUCCCAUUAGCUAGUUGGCGGGUAACGGCCCACCAAGGCAGAGAUGGGUAGCUGGUCUGAGAGGAUGAUCAGCCACACUGGGACUGAGACACUGCCCAGACUCCUACGGGAGGCUGCAGUCGAGAAUUCUUUUGCAAUGCGCGAAAGCGUGAACAAAGCAAUGCCGCGUGCCGGAUGAAGGUCUUCGGAUUAGUAAACGGCUGUCACGUCGGGAACGAAAAUGACGGUACCGAGGGAGGAAGCCACGGCUAACUACGUGCCAGCCGCCGC
rnacentral:rRNA from 1 species